rnacentral:rRNA from 1 species
UUGACCUCGGAUCAGGUAGGGAUACCCGCUGAACUUAUUCAUAUCAAUAAGCCGGAAG